GAGUCCAGAAAUCAGUUAUGAAAGAGAUGUUCUUAACUCCAUUUUUUUUUGUCAUACAACACUUUCCGUUUGUCCUCAAACAGGUUUUGCAAGAAAGAAGCUGCUUGUUUGGUAGGCAGGUGGCUCCCUGUGCUGCAGUUGGAGCGCGUCAAUCAUCGCUGACAACCUGCAGUACCCAGUCCUGAGUGUCUCCUCCAGCUAUCGCCGUCUGAGACUUUUAAAAGGGAUGUGUAGUCCUCUUAGGUCUCGUUUCAAGCAUUCCACACGAAAGUGGAAAAGAUAUCUGCACUGACAUGAAGAGCUCCAUUCAGCUGGAACUUUUUGUUUUCCUACAACAAGUAAUCCUUUCUUUCUAUUUUGUAAUGCUCGGGCUCAUCUACAAAUUCUUGGACUCUUUCUUAGACAUGCAGAGUCCAGCAAAACUGCUCCCCACUCCCAACCCCACCAAAAUUAACAUCAAUCAGCAAGUGUAUGCUAUUUUUAAUAUCGAAGACAGGUUGUUGGAAUGAAUGGACUUUCUGAGUGGCAACAUAGAGACAGUGGGCUGGGACCAAGAAGAGCCAAUCAUUAAUCACUCCCCUUUGUUUUUAAAUGGACUUACUAGGCUUUAAAAAAAAUUGUAUUAUUUCAACAAAACAACCUACAAAUAAAUACAAAACAAAAGGGCACGUGUAGGGACAUAUUGAAAGGAAGCAUGCAUACC
rnacentral:lncRNA from 1 species